CAAGACAACACACCCAUACAGUGUCUUCCUCCUCUUCCUCUUGUGUCAGAGGGAGGAAGAGGAGGAGGGACUUGUUCACGUCAUACCAACUGGUGCUUCAUAUCCUAGUCAUUGUGGUGCAAGUCGGUAGCAAACACUGAAACAGAAAUCAGCAAGUAAGAAAUUCUUCAUAUCAUCGCGUGCUGUAGGUCUAGUCGGCAAGCAAAGAAAGCUGCUUCCGUUGAACGUAUCAAUUGGAGUCUUGUGAAUCCGUUACUGCAAAUACUUCCAGAUUUGGCGCCCUAAAAAGGUGUUCAUCGCAUAUCAUCCAUCAAGACUGGAUGACCCCAACGAAGAAGCAGAUCAUCAUUGGUCUUUCUUUUGGAUAAAGAACCGGGGAACGACGCAGCUUAAACAUAACUGGAAACUGGAAACUACUGGAUAAACCUUCAACGUGAUUUAGUGUAAGAUUUAGUUUUAGUUACACUUUAAACAUAUCAGAAACCUUUGGACGUA